UCAGUUAACAGGGAAAAAGUAUGUUUUCACCUGGGAGAAAGUGUAUUUUUAACCGGGAAAUCCAGGAAUUUUUUUCCUUGUCCGCAUAUACACCCUGCAAAGGCUGUAGGAAUGAUAUCGCUGGCAUUAUGAAGCAAUUGAAAGAGUUGAAAACAAGCAAGUUGCUAGGUCCGGAUGGAAUCCUAAUUCAGUUUUUCAGAGAAUAAUCUUUAGUAUCACCCCUUACUUAGCUUGCAUUUGUAGUAGAUUUUUUACCCAGCAGAAAGUCCCAAACAACUGGAGAAAAGUUGCGUGUAACUUCUGCGUUUAAGAAGAGGCAUACAGACUAAUUUCCAUAAUGUCAGUUUGCUUCAGAAUUCUUGAGCUUAUUUUAAGAAUGAAAGUAAUAAAUUUCCUAGAGACAGAAUAGCUUCUGCCCUUUUCUCACGUCAUCCUGCGAACCAUGGAUGAAGGGAACAGGUAGAUUCCAUAUUCCUAUAUUUCUAGAAAGUGUUCGAUACAUUGCCCCAAUGCAGACUAUUAACGAAGGUUUGAGUAGACAGAAUAGGUUCUGAGAUAUGUAAGUGGCUCAAAGAUUUUAGAAAUAACAGAACCGAGUAUGUUGUCCUGGGUGGCAAGUGUUCAUCAGAGACGAGCGUGCCACACAGAGUGCCCCAGGGACGUGUGGUAGGACCACCGAUGUUCUCUACAUGCAUAAAUGAUCUGCAUGAGCAGCAAUUUAUGGCUGAUUGCUGAUGACACUGUGGUGUACGGGAGGGUGUUAUCAUCAUUGAUUGACUGUAUGAGGAUACAGUAUGACUUAUAAUUCCUUGUUGGUAUGAUAACUGGCAGAUUGCUCUAAGUGUACAAAAUAUAAAUUAAUGCACAUUGAGUAUGAAAAACAAUUCUGAAACAUUUCAGUAAAGUAUUAAUAGUGUGUAUCUUGUUACAUUCAUGUCAAUUAAAUAUCUAGGAAUAAUGUUGCAAAGCAGUAUGACAUGGAACAUGCACAUAUGAUCGGUAGUAGUAAAGGCAAAUGGUUGACUUUGAUUUAUUUGGAGAAUUCUAGGAAGAUGUUGCUCAUUUAUAAAGGAGAUUGCAUACAAAACACUAGUGCGACCCAUUUUUGAGUACUGCUUGGGUGUUUAGGAUCCUCACCAUGUUGGAUUAAAAGGAGACACAAAAGCAACUCAGUGGUGCACAGCUAGAUUUGUUACCAAUGAGUGUGGGCAACAUGCAAGCAUUACAGGCACAAAAUACUAUUGAGAAAAUUUAGAGAACUGCGAGUUGCUGCUGGCUGCAGAACUAUUCUAUUGUAUGUAAAUUGAAGGUGGAGAGGGGAAGAAUGGAAAGGAAAGUGGAGGGAUCACUGCUGUCAGCCACAUUGGGACAUUACGUGGAAUCGGUGGUGAUGAGGGAAAAAUGUAUAACGGACAAGGAUUCAAACCCGGGAUCUCCUGCUUAUUAUGCAGGUGCAGUAACCACUGUGCCAUCCAGGACACAGUGUUAUUGCAACUGCACGGACUAUUUCAGCCUGCCUCACAGCUGAUCCACACUCCCAUCGAGUGCCAGGCUUUUCCAAGAUUCCCACAGGAGGCCAGACGUAUUUGUGCAUAUGCACUGAAGAAGGUGGAUUCAUUGCCCAGUUAGGCCUAUCAAAUUAUAUGAAUGUGUGGUGUCUGUUCUUUUGGACUGUCUGAAAGAACAGACACUGCACAUUCAUACAAUUCUAUUGCUUGAAAUGUAAAUUUCGUGUAAGGUCUGUGAAGAAAUUAGGACUUGUAUAGAGGCAUAUAUACAGUUGCUUUUGACUGGAGUGGUGCUGGUGAUGAUUGUAGCACAUUGUGUGUGUACUUGAUUAUUGUUCUUGUCUCCAAAAUAAUGAGGUAUUUAAUAAAAGUGUAGAAGCAUUGUUAGCCUCUGAAGGUGAAAUUCUUGUUUGUGCAUUUAUCAUGGGAUUUCUUGCUUUCAACUAUCACAAUGGAUUGCAGGGAAAGAAGAUCUGAAAGAGCACAUUUCCAAGUGAUGGUGCAAGAGAAAGAAGAGUCCCAAAAGAAACAGAGGAUGUUCUUCAAGACUGUAGUUAAGAAACUGUGCUUAUGAGAAAUAUAUGUAGAUUGAAGUACUUUUGUUUAUAGCAUUAUUAAAAUUGG